GUCCACGCCGUAAACGAUGGGAACUAGGUGUGGGAGGUGUCGACUCCUCCCGUGCCGUCGCUAACGCAUUAAGUUCCCCGCCUGGGGAGUACGGCCGCAAGGCUAAAACUCAAAGGAAUUGACGGGGGCCCGCACAAGCAGCGGAGCAUGUGGUUUAAUUCGAUGCAACGCGAAGAACCUUACCUGGGUUUGAAAUGUUGGUGACCGGUGUGGAAACACACCUUUCCUUCGGGACACCAUCACAGGUGGUGCAUGGCUGUCGU
rnacentral:rRNA from 1 species